GCAGGUGCUACAGCAGGGGAGUUGUAUGUUCCCUGUAACUGGCCCCAGGCAUCAGUCUAUUAUCUGAACCCGCUUGAACCAUCUUCAAAAGCAGCUCCACAUAGAGUGUGGUACAACAAUACAAGCAAGAUAAACCUAAGGCAAACCCAUAAAAUACUGAAUACCUGUCUGCAGCAAUGAAGUGGAUAAGGUUCAAAAGUUUGGUCCAGACAAGGCGCUAUUGGUGGAUUUUCUGCCUUGAAAAGCAGCAUUCGUCCAGUUCUAUAUAGGAUUUCAUAUCCUAUGAAAUAUAUUUAUGAUCACAGGGUGGACAGAUGCCACAUACCGCCUAAUGAGGGAACUAAAAAGAGGAGUAAACCCCCAAAUAAGUGGUUGAGCGGGGAAAUUGAUCUACAGUCCACAUUACAAGAUGGUCUCCAUCAGGAAAUUCUCCCUUAUAACUAGAAUUCAGCAACAUAUCAUCUUUGAUUCUGGGUUUCUCAUGGCUUGAAGAGAGGAGAGAAAAUAAGUACGACUUUCUCACAAGCCUAACCAGUUUUCUUGCUAACCCUAUCCAGAUGUAAGGAGAAAAAUUUAAAAUAUUGAUCCAAAUAAACAGCUGGAGCAGAGCAAUUAAGGACAAAAGCUCAUCCCUGUCAAAACACUUUUUGGGGCAAAUUCAAUCUGAGAAAAACAAGAUGGCUCCACCUCCUAAAAGAAUCAAAUGGCUUCAAACUUCAAUGGAUGGCAAAUUCUGAAAGUAAAGAAAAGUCACCAUGGAGCUUUUUACAAGUAGG